AACCGCGGUUAUACGAGAGGCCCAAAUUGAUACAUCACGGCGUAAAGUGUGAUUAGAGACAAACCUAAAAUAGAACCAAAUACCCCUUAUGCUGUCAUACGCCAUGGGGGUCACGAAGACCAACAGCGAAAGUGGCUCUAUAAAUCUUGAACUCACGACAGCUAAGACA
rnacentral:rRNA from 1 species